AAGACUAUACUUUUUCAGGGAUCAUUUCUAUAGUUCAUUACAAGUUAUCUUCCCAAAUUUGGUGAAUUGUGAACUUGGAUUUGGUUCUAGU
rnacentral:snoRNA from 1 species